rnacentral:rRNA from 1 species
UACGUAGGGUGCAAGCGUUGUCCGGAAUUAUUGGGCGUAAAGAGCUCGUAGGCGGUCUGUCGCGUCGAAUGUGAAAACCCGGGGCUCAACCCCGGGCCUGCAUUCGAUACGGGCAGACUAGAGUUCGGUAGGGGAGUCUGGAAUUCCUGGUGUAGCGGUGAAAUGCGCAGAUAUCAGGAGGAACACCGGUGGCGAAGGCGGGACUCUGGGCCGAUACUGACGCUGAGACGCGAAAGCGUGGGGAGCGAACAGG